rnacentral:misc_RNA from 1 species
UUUCCGUAGGUGAACCUGCGGAAGGAUCAUUGUCGAAACCUGCCCAGCAGAACGACCCGCGAACUUGUAUAAACAACCGGGGGCGGGGGGCGUUCUCGCUCCGUGCCCCCGAACGGCGGGGAGACACUCGUGCCUUCUUGCCGAACAACGAACCCCGGCGCGGUCUGCGCCAAGGAACUUCAACUAAAGAGUGCCUCCGGUCGCCUCGGAAACGGCGUGCGUGCCGGGGGCGAAUCUUGUGCAAAACCAUAACAACUCUCGGCAACGGAUAUCUCGGCUCUC